rnacentral:rRNA from 1 species
UACGUAGGGUCCGAGCGUUGUCCGGAAUUAUUGGGCGUAAAGGGCUCGUAGGCGGUUCGUCACGUCGGGAGUGAAAACUCGGAGCUUAACUCCGAGCCUGCUUCCGAUACGGGCAGACUAGAGGUAGGCAGGGGAGAGCGGAACUCCUGGUGUAGCGGUGGAAUGCGCAGAUAUCAGGAAGAACACCGGUGGCGAAGGCGGCUCUCUGGGCCUUACCUGACGCUAAGGAGCGAAAGCGUGGGUAGCGAACAGG